rnacentral:rRNA from 1 species
GACGAACGCUGGCGGCGUGCUUAACACAUGCAAGUCGAACGGAAAGGCCCUGCUGUUUGGUGGUGCUCGAGUGGCGAACGGGUGAUUAACACGUGAGUAACCUGCCCUUGACGUUGAGAUAACGUCAGGAAACUGGGGCUAAUACCGGAUAUGAGCUCCUGCUGCAUGGUGGGGGGUGGAAAGUUUCGGCGGUUGGGGAUGGGCUCGCGGCGUAUCAGCGUGGGGGUGGGGUAGUGGCUUACCAAGGCCUUGACGGGUAGCCGGCAUGAGAGGUUGACCGGCGACAAUGGGCCUACGAUACGGCGCAGACUCCUACGGGAGACAGCAGUGGGGAGUAUUACACAAUGGGGCGAAGCGUGAUGCAGCAGCGCCGCGUGCGGGAUGAGGGCCUUUGGGUUGUAAACCGCCUUUGCCUGAGAAGAAGAGUGAAUGACGGUAAUGGGUAAAGAAGCACCGGCUAACUACGUG